GGGACUCUUAAAAACAGUGCCCAACCCUCAGGUUCUUAGGAUCCCAGUGCAGUUAAGCAACCCGUCCACCAGCCCCGCUUUGCAAAAGGUCAUCGUAAGCUCUGCAACAUGGUGCAAUUGCAGCCCUGCAGAUUUCCAGAACUUUUUGGAGGAGGGAGCAAUGGUCACGGCCUUAUAUAAUCCUGUUUCUCUCUCAGUUGAAAGCUGCCGGCAAAUCUUUUUGUCAGCUGUGCGUCACAGCAAACCUCACGAGAUAAUUCAACACAUGCAAGAGCACCGUAUGUCAAAAUGUGGCUCAAUAAUAGCGUGAUGCUGCUGUGGGUUUUUGUUGUUGUUGUCUAUUUUAGAUGCCAAAUGGAUCAUACACAGUAAACACACUCGACGUAACCGGCUGUGUUCUUAGAUAAAUAAGGUAUACUAUUCAUGUAUCGAAUCAUAAAUAUCAACGGAGGUAACUCAUAAAGUUCAACAAAUAAACAAAACAGAAGACCCAGUGGAUCAGAUCAUUCUCUAAUCAGUUCAUGCAUAAAGUCCAUCCGUGUAAUAGUGUCUAUUCCACCUGUCUGUUCAUAAGGUCCAAACAAUUCACAUGAAAGGUUGUUACAGUUUCACAGAAUCCUUUAACAGAGCCUAAGACAAGGAUUUCCGGAAUAUUGGCCUUGUUUCGCCGUCCUGGGCUUCAUCAGUAGUUAAAGCUCAUAUGCAAUAUUACAGGACAGUGGAUCUUAUGGCAUCGUAGUAGCUGUAUGGAUCACACAGGCACUUCAAGAAAUCAGGGAGCUUGCUGUGCCCUACCAGAAGACCCAGUCUCUGACUUGGAUAAGAGACCUGCUUCUUAAUUUCAGGAGGACAGAGGCACCUGCAGUUUUCUCUCAAGAUGAGCAGGGCUUUUCUAGUGAGACAGGAAGGCAGGAAAGGCAACGCAGCUUCUGAAGGAAAUGAAGCUCUGAAGGGUUUUGUAAGUAUGAAACUGUGACAGGCUGUUGGAGGUCCCAAUGCCCAUCUUUCUGGUCAAUACAGAUUGCAACGGCAUCAUCCCUGCCAUCCGUCCAUCCGAUUAGAAGGUGCCAGGUUCAGUUUUAUAGCUGCUGGUAUAAAAGGGCUCAGUUCCUUGCAGGAGCAACUUCUGAGUUUCCCCAGAACCUUGCAGUCUGAACCUUGCUUGUAUCUCACCUGCUCCCUGCCCUGCGUCCAGCCUCAGGGUUGGUUCAAGGCAUCUUGGCACCUGAGGCGUACCACAAAAUGCCCCCCCCUCCCGUCAGGGAAGAAGGGGUGAGUGCAGAUCUACAUCCGGGAACAAGGGGGGAAUAGAGAGUCACAUCAGGAGCAAUAGUGUGAAUGAAGUUUUACUUCGGGAACAGCAGGGAGAGAAAUCAACUCUACCCAACGAUUGAAGUGGGAGUCAAAGGCUGUCAUGGUGGGGGAAAGGGGCAUACUCUGAAUUAGGCCAGGCAGGUGCAGACCCCAGAGGGCAGCUCCACCAUUUUCUUCAUAGGGGUGGGAUGAGACCAGCAGCCCCACCAAGAGUCCAUUGUAGAGGUCACAUGCCUCAGGGGUGGGCAGCUGCCAUGGAGGUGGCAGAUCCAGCCUCCAACAAGUCACUGUCACUGUGGUGGCAAGAGUGGGUGAUGGAUUCCUUGGGAGCUGGAUCUGAUGUCCCUACUCCUCAUGGGUAGGCUGCACCUGUCCAGCCCAAAUCUUUUCCCACUUUGCCUUGUGUCCAGACUGAACCUCACCUUGCCCCUUGAUGCAACACGAAACAGGACAUUCAGCCUGAGACUUGAGUCUAGAGACUAAGCUAUCCACUAGACUUUGAGCCUGGUGGGUCCCUGCUUGAUUCCUGAUUCCUGCCCCUGGCAGGCUCUUCAUCAUGAGUGGAAAAAAUAGGGUUCUUUGGGGUGAGGUAGAGCCCAGUCUUGUGUUUCUGUCCUGUGCUUCAGCGCAAUGGAUGAGCUUUCUCGGUGCAAAGCUGGGCUGUGGGAAUUAGUGCUGGUGGCAACACAGCUAAAUGAAAUACUGCUCCCCAGUCUUGUGCAAAUCUCAUAAUUUCUGGGACAGGACUCAGCAACCUCUGGCCCCUGCAGCUUUGCAGCUUAUCAGCUGAUUUCAGUCUGCAGAUGUUGCAGCCACAUGAGUGUAUGAGUCAAGGUCCAGACAUUCACCUCCAUGUAACAUCAAGCAAAGCUGUUGGCUAGAGACAAGCUCUUCCUUGGGGUUUAGUGGUCUUCUCCAACCUGGUGUCCCCCAGAUGUUGCUGGACUUUUAUUUUUGACCCAUGUCACAGGGCAGUUUGCAAUAUAAAAACACAUACCAUAGUAACAAACGAAAACACUAACACACACCACCCCCAGUUUAAAAGGCCAUGGAUUGUUUAAAUAGCCAAAGAUCCGGAAAAGAGGAGUGUUUCAUAUCCUUCAACAUUUCUCUGAUGAAAAUAGGGACAUCCUAUUUAAUAUUAUUAUUAUUAAUAAUAAUAAUAAUAUAUAAUAAUAUAAUAAUAUUUAUUAACGAAUUGAUUUUAGAAUGUAUUUCAAUUAAUUGAUUGUGAUUUUAUGUAAACUGUUAUUUUUACUGUUGUUAGCCGCUCUGAGCCCGACUUCAGCUGGGAAGGGCAGGAUAUAAAUAAAAUAUUCUUAUUCUUAUUCUUAUUAAUUAUUAUUAAUUAUUAUUAUUACCCAGCUGACUGAGUUGCUCAGCCACUCUGGGCAGCUUCCUACAUACAUAAAAACAUAUUAAAAAGUUAAAAAAAAACUUCCCUAUACAGACUCUCCUUGGCUUGGGGUUCACAUAACUCCAUAUCCUCUGAUGAAAAUAGGGACGUCCUUAAGAAAAGCAGGACAUUCUGGGAUCAAAUCAGAAACUGGGGUGGCUUCUGUAAAUCCAGAAAUGUCCCUGGAAAAUAGGGACACUUGGAGGGUCUAAUGUUUUUGCCUGGCACCUAAAAAGAUGUAACAAAGGCUCCAGGCGAGCCUCCCUGGGGAGAGCAUUCCACAAAUGGGGAGCCACCGCAGAAAAGGCCAAUUCUUGUAUUGCCACCCUCCAUACCUCUCACAUAGAAGGCACACAAAGUAGGGCCUCAGGUGAUGAUCACAGGGGCUGGGGUGUUUGAUAUAGUGGUUGGUUGGGAAGCCAUCUUUAGCACCAUCCCUAUAGCAAAUGCACUGGGUGUUCUAACAUGGUGCUUUUUUUUUGCUCUUGCAGUGUUUUCUGCUUCCCUGUCUGAUGCAGCGAAGGAACACUAAUUAUCGACUGAAAUAUUGAAUCCCAAGAUUGGGGGGGGGGAAUAAAGGGGGGAAACAGUGCCCUCAAAUUAUCAGCAAUGGAAUUCAAUUUUGAAAACCUUCACCGGGGUGGGAAUUCAAAUCAGAGUUCCUGUUUUCCUGAACAAAACCUCCAGAAUGCAGCCUUUGUUCUUGAAGUGGCCAGUUAACCUCUGCACAAAUAAGAAAUAAAAAUUGCAGCGUUCAGCUUCUCUUUGCCUCCGUUCGGCUCCAUUAGAAAGGAGAAGAGUUGGGCGGAGCGGAGAUUGUCACCCAACAGGGUUGCCCAAUUUUAAUUUCCAUAGUCAGUGAAAUGCAUGAUUAGCGCUGGUGGGAUUUCAGGUGGGGCACAGCCAAAAGGUUCUGCUUAGCAUAAUCACCACUCAGGAGCGUCUAUCAAGG
rnacentral:lncRNA from 1 species